GCGGAGCGGCAGCUACCAUGCAGUCGAGCGGAGAGGGAGCUUGCUCCUGGAUUCAGCGGCGGACGGGUGAGUAAUGCCUAGGAAUCUGCCUGGUAGUGGGGGAUAACGUCCGGAAACGGGCGCUAAUACCGCAUACGUCCUGAGGGAGAAAGUGGGGGAUCUUCGGACCUCACGCUAUCAGAUGAGCCUAGGUCGGAUUAGCUAGUUGGUGGGGUAAAGGCCUACCAAGGCGACGAUCCGUAACUGGUCUGAGAGGAUGAUCAGUCACACUGGAACAAAGACACGGUCCAGACUCCUACGGGAGGCAGCAGUGGGGAAUAUUGGACAAUGGGCGAAAGCCUGAUCCAGCCAUGCCGCGUGUGUGAAGAAGGUCUUCGGAUUGUAAAGCACUUUAAGUUGGGAGGAAGGGCAGUAAGUUAAUACCUUGCUGUUUUGACGUUACCAACAGAAUAAGCACCGGCUAACUUCGUGCCAGCAGCCGCGGUAAUACGAAGGGUGCAAGCGUUAAUCGGAAUUACUGGGCGUAAAGCGCGCGUAGGUGGUUCAGCAAGUUGGAUGUGAAAUCCCCGGGCUCAACCUGGGGAACUGCAUCCAAAACUACUGAGCUAGAGUACGGUAGAGGGUGUGGAAUUUCCUGUGUAGCGGUGAAAUGCGUAGAUAUAGGAAGGAACAACAGUGGCGAAGGCGACCACCUGGGACUGA
rnacentral:rRNA from 1 species